rnacentral:rRNA from 1 species
GAACCUCCUUCGGGAGGGGAUUAGUGGCGAACGGGUGAGUAACACGUGGGCAAUCUGCCCUGCACUCUGGGACAAGCCCUGGAAACGGGGUCUAAUACCGGAUAUGAGCCUGGGAGGCAUCUCCCGGGUUGUAAAGCUCCGGCGGUGCAGGAUGAGCCCGCGGCCUAUCAGCUUGUUGGUGAGGUAACGGCUCACCAAGGCGACGACGGGUAGCCGGCCUGAGAGGGCGACCGGCCACACUGGGACUGAGACACGGCCCAGACUCCUACGGGAGGCAGCAGUGGGGAAUAUUGCACAAUGGGCGCAAGCCUGAUGCAGCGACGCCGCGUGAGGGAUGACGGCCUUCGGGUUGUAAACCUCUUUCAGCAGGGAAGAAGCGAAAGUGACGGUACCUGCAGAAGAAGCGCCGGCUAACUACGUGCCAGCAGCCGCGGUAAUACGUAGGGCGCAAGCGUUGUCCGGAAUUAUUGGGCGUAAAGAGCUCGUAGGCGGCUUGUCGCGUCGGAUGUGAAAGCCCGGGGCUUAACCCCGGGUCUGCAUUCGAUACGGGCAGGCUAGAGUUCGGUAGGGGAGAUCGGAAUUCCUGGUGUAGCGGUGAAAUGCGCAGAUAUCAGGAGGAACACCGGUGGCGAAGGCGGAUCUCUGGGCCGAUACUGACGCUGAGGAGCGAAAGCGUGGGGAGCGAACAGGAUUAGAUACCCUGGUAGUCCACGCCGUAAACGGUGGGCACUAGGUG